rnacentral:rRNA from 1 species
ACGAACGCUGGCGGCAGGCCUAAAACAUGCAAGUCGAACGCUCUAGCAAUAGAGAGUGGCGCACGGGUGCGUAACACGUGGGAAUAUGCCUUUUGGUACGGAACAACGUCUGGAAACGGACGCUAAUACCGUAUGGUCCCUUCGGGGUAAAGAUUUAUCGCCUAAGGAUGAGCCCGCGUAGGAUUAGCUAGUUGGUGUGGUAAAGGCGCACCAAGGCGACGAUCCUUAGCUGGUCUGAGAGGAUGAUCAGCCACACUGGGACUGAGACACGGCCCAGACUCCUACGGGAGGCAGCAGUGGGGAAUAUUGGACAAUGGGCGAAAGCCUGAUCCAGCAAUGCCGCGUGAGUGAUGAAGGCCUUAGGGUUGUAAAGCUCUUUUACCCGGGAUGAUAAUGACAGUACCGGGAGAAUAAGCUCCGGCUAACUCCGU